GCUAGCUACAGGCUUAACACAUGCAAGUCGAGGGGCAUCAGGAAGAAAGCUUGCUUUCUUUGCUGGCGACCGGCGCACGGGUGAGUAACACGUAUCCAACCUGCCCUUUACUCGGGGAUAGCCUUUCGAAAGAAAGAUUAAUACCCGAUAGCAUAAUGAUUCCGCAUGGUUUCAUUAUUAAAGGAUUCCGGUAAAGGAUGGGGAUGCGUUCCAUUAGGUUGUUGGUGAGGUAACGGCCCACCAAGCCUUCGAUGGAUAGGGGUUCUGAGAGGAAGGUCCCCCACAUUGGAACUGAGACACGGUCCAAACUCCUACGGGAGGCAGCAGUGAGGAAUAUUGGUCAAUGGGCGCUAGCCUGAACCAGCCAAGUAGCGUGAAGGAUGAAGGCUCUAUGGGUCGUAAACUUCUUUUAUAUAAGAAUAAAGUGCAGUAUGUAUACUGUUUUGUAUGUAUUAUAUGAAUAAGGAUCGGCUAACUCCGUGCCAGCAGCCGCGGUAAUACGGAGGAUCCGAGCGUUAUCCGGAUUUAUUGGGUUUAAAGGGAGCGUAGGUGGACUGGUAAGUCAGUUGUGAAAGUUUGCGGCUCAACCGUAAAAUUGCAGUUGAUACUGUCAGUCUUGAGUACAGUAGAGGUGGGCGGAAUUCGUGGUGUAGCGGUGAAAUGCUUAGAUAUCACGAAGAACUCCGAUUGCGAAGGCAGCUCACUGGACUGCAACUGACACUGAUGCUCGAAAGUGUGGGUAUCAAACAGGAUUAGAUACCCUGGUAGUCCACACAGUAAACGAUGAAUACUCGCUGUUUGCGAUAUACAGUAAGCGGCCAAGCGAAAGCAUUAAGUAUUCCACCUGGGGAGUACGCCGGCAACGGUGAAACUCAAAGGAAUUGACGGGGGCCCGCACAAGCGGAGGAACAUGUGGUUUAAUUCGAUGAUACGCGAGGAACCUUACCCGGGCUUAAAUUGCAGUGGAAUGAUGUGGAAACAUGUCAGUGAGCAAUCACCGCUGUGAAGGUGCUGCAUGGUUGUCGUCAGCUCGUGCCGUGAGGUGUCGGCUUAAGUGCCAUAACGAGCGCAACCCUUAUCUUUAGUUACUAACAGGUUAUGCUGAGGACUCUAGAGAGACUGCCGUCGUAAGAUGUGAGGAAGGUGGGGAUGACGUCAAAUCAGCACGGCCCUUACGUCCGGGGCUACACACGUGUUACAAUGGGGGGGUACAGAAGGCAGCUAGCGGGUGACCGUAUGCUAAUCCCAAAAUCCUCUCUCAGUUCGGAUCGAAGUCUGCAACCCGACUUCGUGAAGCUGGAUUCGCUAGUAAUCGCGCAUCAGCCACGGCGCGGUGAAUACGUUCCCGGGCCUUGUACACACCGCCCGUCAAGCCAUGGGAGCCGGGGGUACCUGAAGUACGUAACCGCAAGGAUCGUCCUAGGGUAAAACUGG
rnacentral:rRNA from 1 species